UACGGAGGGUGCGAGCGUUGCUCGGAAUCACUGGGCGUAAAGGGUGCGUAGGCGGGUCUUUAAGUCAGGGGUGAAAUCCUGGAGCUCAACUCCAGAACUGCCUUUGAUACUGAGGAUCUUGAGUUCGGGAGAGGUGAGUGGAACUGCGAGUGUAGAGGUGAAAUUCGUAGAUAUUCGCAAGAACACCAGUGGCGAAGGCGGCUCACUGGCCCGAUACUGACGCUGAGGCACGAAAGCGUGGGGAGCAAACAGGG
rnacentral:rRNA from 1 species